rnacentral:snRNA from 1 species
AGCUUUAAGCAGUGGCAAUGUCGUAGCCAGUGAGGUUUAUCCGAGGCACGAUUAUUGCUAAUUGAAGAAAAAAAACACAGGGCUAUAUUACAAAGUGCCCAAGUUCGAAACCACCAGCUGCUC